GACAUUCUAUAGGUAGCAAAGUCCACUUCUAAUUUUAUCAGAGUCUCUUCAUGAUCCAAUAUCUGAAAAUGGACACAGCUCAGGACUUAGACCAAUGUCUGGCACACAACAGAAGCUUAAUCAAUGUUUGUUGAUUAACAGACUGACAGCAUGUUCAAGGGUUGUGACUGUCAUUGUAUGUGGCUGAAGUUGGGAGGACACUCAUGGAUGCUCAGUAGGCUGAAGAACUGAAUGAAAGUGAGUGGCUGUGGUGUAUACUAUACCUGAGUGGAGAUGAUUUUGACAUCUCCUUCCAAGACCUUCAUUUGACACUC